UAACUACGCGAAAGCGUAGCUAAUACCGCAUACGCCCUACGGGGGAAAGCAGGGGAUCGCAAGACCUUGCACUAUUGGAGCGGCCGAUAUCGGAUUAGCUAGUUGGUGGGGUAACGGCUCACCAAGGCGACGAUCCGUAGCUGGUUUGAGAGGACGACCAGCCACACUGGGACUGAGACACGGCCCAGACUCCUACGGGAGGCAGCAGUGGGGAAUUUUGGACAAUGGGGGAAACCCUGAUCCAGCCAUCCCGCGUGUGCGAUGAAGGCCUUCGGGUUGUAAAGCACUUUUGGCAGGAAAGAAACGUCGCGGGUUAAUACCCCGCGGAACUGACGGUACCUGCAGAAUAAGCACCGGCUAACUACGUGCCAGCAGCCGCGGU
rnacentral:rRNA from 1 species